AGUGAACGCUGGCGGUAGGCCUAACACAUGCAAGUCGAACGGCAGCACAGUAAGAGCUUGCUCUUACGGGUGGCGAGUGGCGGACGGGUGAGGAAUAAAUCGGAAUCUACUUUUUCGUGGGGGAUAACGUAGGGAAACUUACGCUAAUACCGCAUACGACCUACGGGUGAAAGCAGGGGAUCUUCGGACCUUGCGCGAUUGAAUGAGCCGAUGUCGGAUUAGCUAGUUGGCGGGGUAAAGGCCCACCAAGGCGACGAUCCGUAGCUGGUCUGAGAGGAUGAUCAGCCACACUGGAACUGAGACACGGCCCAGACUCCUACGGGAGGCAGCAGUGGGGAAUAUUGGACAAUGGGCGCAAGCCUGAUCCAGCCAUACCGCGUGGGUGAAGAAGGCCUUCGGGUUGUAAAGCCCUUUUGUUGGGAAAGAAAAGCAGCAGGGUAAUACCCCGCUGUUCUGACGGUACCCAAAGAAUAAGCACCGGCUAACUUCGUG
rnacentral:rRNA from 1 species